rnacentral:rRNA from 1 species
GACUGUAGGCUGCAACUCGCCUACACGAAGCUGGAAUCGCUAGUAAUCGCGGAUCAGCACGCCGCGGUGAAUACGUUCCCGGGCCUUGUACACACCGCCCGUCACACCAUGAGAGUCUGUAACACCCAAAGCCGGUGGGAUAACCUUUAUAGGAGUCAGCCGUCUAAGGUAGGACAGAUGAUUAGGGUGAAGUCGUAACAAGGUAAC